UGGCGGACGGGUGAGUAAUGUCUGGGAAACUGCCUGAUGGAGGGGGAUAACUGCUGGAAACGGUAGCUAAUACCGCAUAACGUCGCAAGACCAAAGAGGGGGACCUUCGGGCCUCUUGCCAUCGGAUGUGCCCAGAUGGGAUUAGCUAGUAGGUGGGGUAACGGCUCACCUAGGCGACGAUCCCUAGCUGGUCUGAGAGGAUGACCAGCCACACUGGAACUGAGACACGGUCCAGACUCCUACGGGAGGCAGCAUG
rnacentral:rRNA from 1 species